UGAGACUGAACUUCUUUUGCAUAAAAUAAAAACUAAGAAAAAAAUCUCUUUUUCUUCGUCUACAAUUGUCUCUACUUUUCCAUCAUGAGAUAAAAUAUUCAGCCGUUACUAGGGUUGGGUACUGAGACCUGGUGCUAAUACGGACCUGGUGCCUUAACCACCGUUAUCUACCGGACCGAAUAGCAACACAGAUUUCGGUGCCACUUAAAUGCCUGUGCUUCUCUCUGAUGCUCCUAAACGGACGUUAGAGGCAACCGAAGCAUCGUUGCAUGGGACGCUAGCUAACU